GAGACCAGCAGAGAGGGUUUCCAUGUCCUAAUGAAUCAGUGAUGGCGGCUGUUAGCCUGACUGUUGCCACGGUGAUGGAGAAAGACACCCAGGAGGCACUCCCCGGCCCAUGGGAUCUCAGCAUUCAAAGCAACACAGGAAAUCUGGGCCCCUGAAACGGGGCCACCGAAGAGAUGGGCGAACAACCAGGAGGAAGUACUGGAAGGAAGGAAGGGAGAUCGCUCG